GUCGCUGGCGAGGACCCACCUUCCGAGCGUCGCUAUUUGAUUGGCUGCUGCGGAGCGGCGCUUCCUUUCCUCCUUCCCUGGCCAAGAUGAACGACACGGUGACCAUCCGGACGAGGAAGUUCAUGACCAACCGGCUGCUGCAGCGGAAGCAAAUGGUGAUUGAUGUCCUCCAUCCCGGUAAAGCCACCGUCCCCAAAACUGAAAUCCGUGAGAAGCUGGCGAAAAUGUACAAGACGACCCCCGAUGUCAUUUUUGUCUUUGGCUUCAGGACUCAUUUUGGGGGUGGGAAGACAACUGGUUUUGGCAUGAUCUAUGAUUCCUUAGACUACGCCAAGAAGAAUGAACCAAAGCAUCGGCUGGCAAGGCAUGGCCUGUAUGAAAAGAAAAAGACUUCUAGAAAGCAACGGAAAGAGCGUAAGAACAGGAUGAAGAAGGUCCGGGGCACAGCCAAAGCAAGUGUUGGGGCCAGCAAAAAGAAGAAAUGAAGUGUCUAGCAGGUACAGAGAAAAAGCAUGGGAGACGAAGUUACUGUUGUUGAGCCAGCCACCGAAUUUAACAGAACAGUUGAAUUAUCCCGGUGGGAAAUGUGCCGGUUUUGCUGCAGGUCUUCAAAUAAAUUUUAUAAGAACUGAAUCUA